CCGUGGCAAAGAUCAGUUGAUAAGAACUUGAAGCUUCUCAUCAAUUAAGCCAAACCAACGAGUUUCUCGCUAAUCUCCCAUACUUUACGAGCCUUGUCUGCAUCACUAGCUUCUUGGGAUAACUGGUUCUCAAAUGAAGCAGAGGUCUUGUUCCAGCUCCAGUACACACCUGAUUUUGCCAAGCUCGGAUCGCUCACGACCUGAGCAAGCCUUUUUCCGGCUUCAUCUUCGAACCCUUGGUGAUAUACUUCUGGAACGGAGGGAAUAGAAGCCUGAACAAAGGAAUGUGUUCCCUGAACAAGCCUGUUGUGGCAAUGCAACCGGGAUAAAGGGAAGCAAAUGUGAUGCCUGUUUCUUCAUGGAAACGCUUGUGGAACUCUUGCAUAGUGAGCAUAUUGCAGACUUUACUGUCCUUGUAGGCUUUGGCUCCAUCGAAUUCCCCACCAUCGAUCAUGGAAGAGCUGUUUAGCCCAUUCAAGCCUCCUGCAAGCCCCCUCAAGUCUCCAAGAUUGGCCUUUGGAGGUACAUUCCCAGCCAAGGUAUUUGUGUUCCCAGUAAUUGAGCCAACAAUUAUGAGUCUCUUUGAUGGGUAAUCAGAUUUAUUGAGAUCAUCAAGCAGCAAACGAGAAAGAAGGAAGUGACCAAGAUGGUUAGUUCCAACACUAAGUUCGAAUCCUUCAGCAGUGAAAGUAGGAUCCUUGGCUGUUGGCAGGUAAACAGCAGCAUUGCAAACCAGAACAUCAAGUGGCCUUCCUGAUCGCCUGAAGUUAUCAACAAAUUGGCGGACACUGUCAAG
rnacentral:misc_RNA from 1 species